GAUGAACGCUAGCGGCAGGCCUAAUGCAUGCAAGUCGAACGAUACUUUCCAGCUUGCUGGAGAGGAAAGUGGCGCACGGGUGCGUAACGCGUAUGCAACCUACCUUCAUCAGGGGGAUAGCCCGGAGAAAUCCGGAUUAAUACCGCAUAAAAUCACAGGAUGGCAUUAUCCAAUGAUCAAACAUUUAUGGGAUGGAGAUGGGCAUGCGUGUCAUUAGCUAGUUGGCGGGGUAACGGCCCACCAAGGCGACGAUGACUAGGGGAUCUGAGAGGAUGGCCCCCCACACUGGUACUGAGACACGGACCAGACUCCUACGGGAGGCAGCAGUAAGGAAUAUUGGUCAAUGGAGGGAACUCUGAACCAGCCAUGCCGCGUGCAGGAAGACUGCCCUAUGGGUUGUAAACUGCUUUUAUCCGGGAAUAAACCUAAAUACGUGUAUUUAGCUGAAUGUACCGGAAGAAUAAGGAUCGGCUAACUCCGUGCCAGCCGCCGCGGUAAUAC
rnacentral:rRNA from 1 species